UACGUAGGGUGCAGGCGUUAAUCGGAAUUACUGGGCGUAAAGCGUGCGCAGGCGGCUUCCUAAGUCAGAUGUGAAAUCCCCGGGCUCAACCUGGGAACUGCAUUUGUGACUGCAUCGCUGGAGUGCGGCAGAGGGGGAUGGAAUUCCGCGUGUAGCAGUGAAAUGCGUAGAUAUGCGGAGGAACACCGAUGGCGAAGGCAAUCCCCUGGGCCUGCACUGACGCUCAUGCACGAAAGCGUGGGGAGCAAACAGG
rnacentral:rRNA from 1 species